rnacentral:rRNA from 1 species
CAGCCGCCACGGUAAUACGUAGGUGGCAAGCGUUGUCCGGAACUAUUGGGCGUAAAGGGCUCGCAGGCGGUUUCUUAAGUCUGAUGUGAAAGCCCCCGGCUCAACCGGGGAGGGUCAUUGGAAACUGGGAAACUUGAGUGCAGAAGAGGAGAGUGGAAUUCCACGCGUAGCGGUGAAAUGCGUAGAGAUGUGGAGGAACACCAGUGGCGAAGGCGACUCUCUGGUCUGUAACUGACGCUGAGGAGCGAAAGCGUGGGGAGCGAACAGGAUUAGAUACCCCGGUAGUCCCUGUCUCUUAUAC